CAAAUGAUCUGCCUGCCUCAGCCUCCCAAAGUGCUGGGAUGACGGGCAUGAGCCACUGUGCCUGACCCGCCGGAGUAGGUCUCAAUGAUUAUCACCCUUGAAGAAUCAUCCAGUAACCCAAGGAGAAGAUCAUUUGGCAAGGGCCCCAUAUGACCUUCCAACUGGCAUAAGCGCUGAACUGCUUCUUACAUUCUCACAGCAGCACCACAAGUCUGGACCAGGGGCCUUUCUUCAUCAGAGUCACCAGGAAACCUUGUCAAAGAGGAGAUACCCAGGCUUUACACCAGCCUUUGGGAGGGCCUGAGAGUGAGCAUCUCCCAGGGAAGAGGAAGGAGGAAAGCUGCUAACACCUGGGAAUAAUCGCUCAAUAGCAGGAGCAGCUAAAUUCUUCUUUAAAGGACUAGAUAGUAAAUAUUUUAGACUCUGCAGACCUUUAGUCUCUGUUGCAACUAUUUGGCUCUGUUACUGUCAUUUGAAAGCAACCACAGACAAUACGUACAUGGAUGAGGGUGGGUGCAUUCCAAUAAAACUUUAUUUGCAAAGUGGC